GUCAUGGACCCCACAUGUAUGUUCCAGGCCUCAGACACGUGUGUCAUGGGCUCUACAUGUGUGUCGUGGGCUGAACACGUGUCCUAGACCUUGGUCACACGUGUCAUGGGUACCACACGUAUGUUCCAGGCCGCAGUCAUGUGUCAUGGGUCCCACACGCGUGUGUUAUGGGCUUAACAUGCGUGUUCUGUGCCUUGGACACGUGUGUCCCGGGCCCCACACGCGUGUCGGGGCCCCCACAUGUAUGUUCCAGGCCUCAGACACGCGUGUUGUGGGUCUCAGUCACAUGUCAUGGGCCCCACACGCGUGUUGGAGGCCUUGGACACGUGUGAUAUAGAUCUCACAUAUCCAAAGGCCCCUCCCAGUUCAUCCCAGUCCCCUCCCAGUUGAUCCCAAUCCCUCCCAGUGCCCCUCCCAGUCCCUUCCCAGUUGAUCCCUAUCCACUCCCAGUUGAUCCCAGUCCAUCCCAGUGCCCCCCAAUCGCCUCCCAGUUCAUCCCAGUCCCUUCCCAGUUGAUCCCAGUCCCCUCCCAGUCCAUCCCAAUCCAGUCCCAGUUGAUCCCAGUCCAUCCCAGUCCCCCCCAAUCCCCUCCCAGUCCAUCCCAGUGCCCUCCCAGUCCAUCCCAGUUCAUCCCAGUCCCUCCCAGUUCAUCCCAGUUCAUCCCAGUGACCCCACAGUGCUCCCCCAGUUCAUCCCAGUUCAUCCCAGUGCUCUCCCAGUUCAUCCCAGCCCCCUCACAGUUGAUCCCAGUUCAUCCCAGUGACCCCUAAUCCCCUCCCAGUCCCUUCCCAGUUGAUCCCAGUCCCCUCCCAGUCCAUCCCAGUGCCCCCCAAUCGCCUCCCAGUCCCUCCCAGUGCCCUCCCAGUCCAUCCCAGUCCCUCCCAGUUCAUCCCAGUGACCCCACAGUGCUCCCCCAGUGCCCCCACAGUCCCCUCCCAGUUCAUCCCAGUGACUUCCCCCCAGUUCAUCCCAGUCCCUCCCAGUUCAUCCCAGUGACCCCACAGUGCUCCCCCAGUUCAUCCCAGUUUUAACUCCAUUCAAUCCAGCACAC
rnacentral:lncRNA from 1 species